rnacentral:rRNA from 1 species
AGCGAACGCUGGCGGCGUGCCUAACACAUGCAAGUCGAACGUGAAAGGGAGCAAUCCCAAGUAAAGUGGCGUACGGGUGAGUAACACGUAGGUAAUCUACCCCAGAAUCUGGAAUAACCGGCCGAAAGGCUGGCUAAUACUGGAUAGAGCGACGGAAUCCGUAAUUGGGUUUUUCGGGAAAGGGAGCCUGUAAAAAGGCCUUCGUUCUGGGAUGAGCCUGCGUCCCAUCAGCUAGUUGGUGAGGUAAAAGCUUACCAAGGCAAUGACGGGUAGCUGGUCUGAGAGGACGAUCAGCCACACUGGAACUGAAACACGGUCCAGACUCCUACGGGAGGCAGCAGUGGGGAAUCCUGCGCAAUGGACGAAAGUCUGACGCAGCAACGCCGCGUGAGUGAAGAAGGCCUUCGGGUUGUAAAGCUCUGUCGAGUGGGACGAAAAUGCUUGGAGUUCACAGCUCCAGGAACUGACGGUACCACUAAAGGAAGCACCGGCUAACUCCGUG